CAUACAAACAGUUAUGUUUAGAAAUUCUCUGAUAUUUCUCAGAUGAUAAAUGCUGUUUUGUUUUCAAAUGAAAACUGGAAGAAAUGAGAAGAGAAGCAAAUUAAGGAGCCAAAGUCACCUAUCGCUCACCUCUGUUUAGGAAAGGGGGGGAAAUCACUGUCAUAAAGGAUUAAGCACAGGGCUGGAAUCAAGUCAGAUGAGUUCAAGUGGUGGUUCUUUGUCUACCUUAGAAGAUAAACCCGAGAGAAACAAACAGCUCUUCAUUUCUGUAGUAUGUCUGUCUCCUCUUUUCAAAAACUCUACCACCAUUUAUUCAAGAGUACUGCACACUUUGAUGUCUAGAGAUGAAAAGCGGUUUUUGAGGUUAAUACUGCUUAAAUUGCACCAAGCAAUUUGCCACAUAUGAUGCAAGUUAAAUGCCACUCCUGCAAACUCCAUGGAGAAUUCUGCUGGCUCAAAGCACUUGCAAGUGGCAAGACUGAAUCAACCAACUUCAAUUGAAAUGUAUAUUUAACUG